rnacentral:rRNA from 1 species
UACGUAGGGUGCGAGCGUUGUCCGGAUUUAUUGGGCGUAAAGAGCUCGUAGGCGGUUUGUCGCGUCGGCCGUGAAAUCUCCACGCUUAACGUGGAGCGUGCGGUCGAUACGGGCAGACUUGAGUUCGGUAGGGGAGACUGGAAUUCCUGGUGUAGCGGUGAAAUGCGUAGAUAUCAAGAGGAACACCUGCGGCGAAGGCGGGUUGCUGGGCCGACACUGACGCUGAGGCGCGAAAGCCAGGGGAGCGAACGGG